rnacentral:lncRNA from 1 species
GUGUGAUAAGUGUGGGCGUGGCUUCAACCGGGUAGACAACCUGCGCUCCCACGUGAAGACCGUGCACCAGGGCAAGGCAGGCAUCAAGAUCCUGGAGCCCGAGGAGGGCAGUGAGGUCAGCGUGGUCACUGUGGAUGACAUGGUCACGCUGGCUACCGAGGCACUGGCAGCGACAGCCGUCACUCAGCUCACAGGUGCGGGCUGUGGGCAGCAGAGGGAAGUCACAGGCAGCUUGCUGCCAGGGUGGCGAUGAUGGGGCAGUGCCCGUGCCUUCACCUUAGGCCCUGCGACUCUGCCCGCAGUGGUGCCGGUGGGAGCUGCAGUGACAGCCGAUGAGACGGAAGUCCUGAAGGCCGAGAUCAGCAAAGCUGUGAAGCAAGUGCAGGAAGAAGACCCCAACACUCACAUCCUCUACGCCUGUGACUCCUGUGGGGACAAGUUUCUGGAUGCCAACAGCCUGGCUCAGCAUGUGCGAAUCCACACAGCCCAGGCACUGGUCAUGUUCCAGACAGACGCGGACUUCUAUCAGCAGUAUGGGCCAGGUGGCACGUGGCCUGCCGGGCAGGUGCUGCAGGCUGGGGAGCUGGUCUUCCGCCCUCGCGACGGGGCUGAGGGCCAGCCCGCACUGGCAGAGACCUCCCCUACAGCUCCUGAAUGUCCCCCGCCUGCCGAGUGAGCUGGCGGCCCUUCUGACUGUUUAUUUAAGGAUGGAUGGCACCCUGGAACCGGGAAGGGUGGCCUGUUCCCUAGAGAGAAUAAAUUGGAUUAUUUUCUAA